AGUGAACGCUGGCGGUAGGCCUAACACAUGCAAGUCGAACGGCAGCACAGUAAGAGCUUGCUCUUACGGGUGGCGAGUGGCGGACGGGUGAGGAAUACAUCGGAAUCUACUUUUUCGUGGGGGAUAACGUAGGGAAACUUACGCUAAUACCGCAUACGACCUACGGGUGAAAGCAGGGGAUCUUCGGACCUUGCGCGAUUGAAUGAGCCGAUGUCGGAUUAGCUAGUUGGCGGGGUAAAGGCCCACCAAGGCGACGAUCCGUAGCUGGCCUGAGAGAAUGAUCAGCCACACUGGAACUGAGACACGGUCCAGACUCCUACGGGAGGCAGCAGUGGGGAAUAUUGGACAAAGGGCGCAAGCCUGAUCCAGCCAUACCGCGUGGGUGAAGAAGGCCUUCGGGUUGUAAAGCCCUUUUGUUGGGAAAGAAAAGCAGCAGGUUAAUACCCCGCUGUUCUGACGGUACCCAAAGAAUAAGCACCGGCUAACUUCGUG
rnacentral:rRNA from 1 species